CUGAAAAGCUCACAGUCCACUCACAGAGCAGCAACAUGGCCGUACAAUAGCCAGGCUCUCCCAGGACUAAAUACUCAAAUAAAUGUUCUCUUUAUUCAAGCUUGGGCUACCAUUUCAUUGCAGAGUUUUGUUAAUUCAACAAAUUCUAUGAAACUGUCUUAUCUGAUGAGGAAACCAAGACACAGAGAAGAUAAACAACUUGCCUGAAGUCACAAAUGGUAAGUGGUGGAGCUGGGAUGUGAACCU
rnacentral:lncRNA from 1 species